rnacentral:rRNA from 1 species
UACGUAGGUGGCAAGCGUUGUCCGGAAUUACUGGGUGUAAAGGGAGCGCAGGCGGGACUGCAAGUUGGAUGUGAAAUACCGCGGCUUAACCGCGGAGCUGCAUCCAAAACUGUAGUUCAUGAGUGGAGUAGAGGUAGGCGGAAUUCCGAGUGUAGCGGUGAAAUGCGUUGAUAUUCGGAGGAACACCAGUGGCGAAGGCGGCCUACUGGGCUCUUACUGACGCUGAGGCUCGAAAGUGUGGGAGCAAACA